rnacentral:rRNA from 1 species
GAGUUUGAUYCUGGCUCAGAUUGAACGCUGGCGGCAUGCCUUACACAUGCAAGUCGAACGGCAGCAUGAUCUAGCUUGCUAGAUUGAUGGCGAGUGGCGAACGGGUGAGUAAUACAUCGGAACGUGCCCUGUAGUGGGGGAUAACUAGUCGAAAGAUUAGYUAAUACCGCAUACGACCUGAGGGUGAAAGUGGGGGACCGCAAGGCCUCAUGCUAUAGGAGCGGCCGAUGUYUGAUUAGCUAGUUGGUGGGGUAAAGGCCCACCAAGGCGACGACCAGUAGCUGGUYUGAGAGGACGAUCAGCCACACUGGGACUGAGACACGGCCCAGACUCCUACGGGAGGCAGCAGUGGGGAAUUUUGGACAAUGGGCGAAAGCCUGAUCCAGCAAUGCCGCGUGUGUGAAGAAGGCCUUCGGGUUGUAAAGCACUUUUGUCCGGAAAGAAAUGGCUCUGGUUAAUACCUGGGGUCGAUGACGGUACCGAAGAUUUAG